GGGGCUGUGGAUCAGUGGUAGAACAUCUGCCUGGGAUGCAGAAGGUCCCAGGUUCAAUCCCCGGCAUCUCCG